GACGAACGCUGGCGGCGUGCUUAACACAUGCAAGUCGAACGAGAAAGCCCUUCGGGGUAAGUACAGUGGCGAACGGGUGAGUAACACGUGGGCAACCUGCCCCAGAGAGCGGGACAACCCGGGGAAACCCCGGCUAAUACCGCAUGAUGCGUCUCCACUUAAGUGGAGCCGCCAAAUGGUAGCUUCGGCCUCCGCCCUGGGAUGGGCCCGCGCCGGAUUAGCUAGUUGGUUGGGGUAACGGCCCACCAAGGCGACGAUCCGUAGCUGGUCUGAGAGGACGAUCAGCCACACUGGGACUGAGACACAGCCCAGACUCCUACGGGAGGCAGCAGUGGGGAAUCUUGCGCAAUGGGCGAAAGCCUGACGCAGCAACGCCGCGUGGGGGAAGAAGGCCUUCGGGUUGUAAACCUCUUUCAGUAGGGACGAAGCUUCCGGGGUUAAUAGCCUACGGGGUGACGGUACCUACAGAAGAAGCCCCGGCUAACUACGUGCCAGCAGCCGCGGUAA
rnacentral:rRNA from 1 species